GAGGCGAUAUGUGCGUGAAAUUUGCAAAAAAGUUCCUCCCUGGUAGCUAAUUUCGUCCCGAUGCCUCCUCGUUGAAACCCAGAUCCCGUGGAGGCAGCACGAACCAAAUCUUCUCCGAGGGCGGUGAUCCAUACUCCAAGUUGGGUGAGCACUCCUGGUAGAGGUGAUGCUCCUUCUCCCGAUGGCUGCUUGCAGCUUUUGUGGCUGGUAGCCCAGUUGGAGGCGGACCAGAUCGGAACUGACCACCAACUAAACUCUGCCCCGCAGCUUCCGUCGUAGAUUCCCUUCUAAAGCUCCGACAACGGUGGGUUCGUCGCCUCCUCUCUCCAGUAACAGCUAGUGUCCUCCUCCCCCUCGUCGGCGGCUAGCCGGCGAUGGUCUCCUCAGCUCCUUCCCGACCGGCCCGUGCGACGAGACUGUUGCCAUAGGUGGUGGGAUCCUCGGCUCCUUCCGAACCAACCUGUGUGACGUGCUGCAGAUCUACAAGGCAUCACCAUGAUUGUUAAUUUGUCUGCUAGGUAGAUUAAACUGAUUGAUGAAGUGUAUACGAGUCCAUGGAGGUUAAAAACUCCCAUGUACAAGCGGGAAUGCCAGCAGAUGAAGCUCGAUUAACAGGAAGCACUAAAACAGGGCGCAAAAUGAUACUCGUAGAUCUUUUCUGUCAUGUACUAUCAAGAUGCUUGUUGGACAGUGAUAGUUUUCAGUCCUUUAUACUCGGUCCUGCCGCCCAUGUACUAUAAGUGGUCCAUGUAUACUUCCUGUGCUGUAUUCUCAUGUACUGAAAUACUCAAAUGCUUGCUGAGAGGUGAUAACUCUAGUCAUUAAUUUGUUCAUGUACUCA